CCUAGAGUAUGCGGGCUUUGCCUGCCAUCCCUUACCCAUGUCUUUUGAGUACCUUCGUUUCCUCGGCGGGUCCGCCUGCCGACUGGACAAUUUAAACCUUUUGCAGUUGCAAUCAGCGUCUGAAAAAACUUAAUAGUUA
rnacentral:misc_RNA from 1 species